CCCCGCUUGCGGGGGGAUUAGUGGCGAACGGGUGAGUAACACGUGAGUAACCUGCCCUUAACUCUGGGAUAAGCCUUGGAAACGAGGUCUAAUACUGGAUAUUGACUUUUCCUCGCAUGGGGAUUGGUUGAAAGAUUUAUUGGUUUUGGAUGGACUCGCGGCCUAUCAGCUUGUUGGUGAGGUAAUGGCUCACCAAGGCGACGACGGGUAGCCGGCCUGAGAGGGUGACCGGCCACACUGGGACUGAGACACGGCCCAGACUCCUACGGGAGGCAGCAGUGGGGAAUAUUGCACAAUGGGCGAAAGCCUGAUGCAGCGACGCCGCGUGAGGGAUGACGGCCUUCGGGUUGUAAACCUCUUUCAGUAGGGAACAAGGCCAGACGUUGUCUGGUUGAGGGUACUUGCAGAAGAAGCGCCGGCUAACUACGUGCCAGCAGCCGCGGUAAUACGUAGGGCGCAAGCGUUAUCCGGAAUUAUUGGGCGUAAAGAGCUCGUAGGCGGUUUGUCGCGUCUGCCGUGAAAGUCCGGGGCUCAACCCCGGAUCUGCGGUGGGUACGGGCAGACUAGAGUGAUGUAGGGGAGACUGGAAUUCCUGGUGUAGCGGUGAAAUGCGCAGAUAUCAGGAGGAACACCGAUGGCGAAGGCAGGUCUCUGGGCAUUAACUGACGCUGAGGAGCGAAAGCAUGGGGAGCGAACA
rnacentral:rRNA from 1 species